GUUUGCUUGCAAACUGGAGAUGGCGACCGGCGCACGGGUGAGUAACACGUAUCCNACCUGCCGAUAACUCGGGGAUAGCCUUUCGAAAGAAAGAUUAAUACCCGAUGGUAUAAUCANACCGCAUGGUCUUGUUAUUAAAGAAUUUCGGUUAUCGAUGGGGAUGCGUUCCAUUAGGCAGUUGGUGAGGUAACGGCUCACCAAACCUUCGAUGGAUAGGGGUUCUGAGAGGAAGGUCCCCCACAUUGGAACUGAGACACGGUCCAAACUCCUACGGGAGGCAGCAGUGAGGAAUAUUGGUCAAUGGGCGCAGGCCUGAACCAGCCAAGUAGCGUGAAGGAUGACUGCCCUAUGGGUUGUAAACUUCUUUUAUAUGGGAAUAAAGUUUUCCACGUGUGGAAUUUUGUAUGUACCAUAUGAAUAAGGAUCGGCUAACUCCGUGCCAGCAGCCGCGGUAAUACGGAGGAUCCGAGCGUUAUCCGGAUUUAUUGGGUUUAAAGGGAGCGUAGGUGGACAGUUAAGUCAGUUGUGAAAGUUUGCGGCUCAACCGUAAAAUUGCAGUUGAUACUGGCUGUCUUGAGUACAGUAGAGGUGGGCGGAAUUCGUGGUGUAGCGGUGAAAUGCUUAGAUAUCACGAAGAACUCCGAUUGCGAAGGCAGCUCACUGGACUGCAACUGACACUGAUGCUCGAAAGUGUGGGUAUCAAACAGGAUUAGAUACCCUGGUAGUCCACACAGUAAACGAUGAAUACUCGCUGUUUGCGAUAUACAGUAAGCGGCCAAGCGAAAGCAUUAAGUAUUCCACCUGGGGAGUACGCCGGCAACGGUGAAACUCAAAGGAAUUGACGGGGGCCCGCACAAGCGGAGGAACAUGUGGUUUAAUUCGAUGAUACGCGAGGAACCUUACCCGGGCUUAAAUUGCAUUUGAAUAUAUUGGAAACAGUAUAGCCGUAAGGCAAAUGUGAAGGUGCUGCAUGGUUGUCGUCAGCUCGUGCCGUGAGGUGUCGGCUUAAGUGCCAUAACGAGCGCAACCCUUAUCUUUAGUUACUAACAGGUCAUGCUGAGGACUCUAGAGAGACUGCCGUCGUAAGAUGUGAGGAAGGUGGGGAUGACGUCAAAUCAGCACGGCCCUUACGUCCGGGGCUACACACGUGUUACAAUGGGGGGUACAGAAGGCAGCUACCUGGUGACAGGAUGCUAAUCCCAAAAGCCUCUCUCAGUUCGGAUCGAAGUCUGCAACCCGACUUCGUGAAGCUGGAUUCGCUAGUAAUCGCGCAUCAGCCAUGGCGCGGUGAAUACGUUCCCGGGCCUUGUACACACCGCCCGUCAAGCCAUGAAAGCCGGGGGUACCUGAAGUACGUAACCGCAAGGAGC
rnacentral:rRNA from 1 species